AGUGAACGCUGGCGGUAGGCCUAACACAUGCAAGUCGAACGGCAGCACAGGAGAGCUUGCUCUCUGGGUGGCGAGUAGCGGACGGGUGAGGAAUACAUCGGAAUCUACUUUUUCGUGGGGGAUAACGUAGGGAAACUUACGCUAAUACCGCAUACGACCUACGGGUGAAAGCAGGGGAUCUUCGGACCUUGCGCGAUUGAAUGAGCCGAUGUCGGAUUAGCUAGUUGGCGGGGUAAAGGCCCACCAAGGCGACGAUCCGUAGCUGGUCUGAGAGGAUGAUCAGCCACACUGGAACUGAGACACGGUCCAGACUCCUACGAGAGGCAGCAGUGGGGAAUAUUGGACAAUGGGCGCAAGCCUGAUUCAGCCAUACCGCGUGGGUGAAGAAGGCCUUCGGGUUGUAAAGCCCUUUUGUUGGGAAAGAAAUCCAGCUGGUUAAUACCCGGUUGGGAUGACGGUACCCAAAGAAUAAGCACCGGCUAACUUCGUGCCAGCCGCCGCCGUAA
rnacentral:rRNA from 1 species